ACACAAUGUGUGCAACGCCCUUUUACAAUCUUAUUACCCUCUAGUGGGAACAUAGUUAAACACGUAGCAAAUGAUACUAAUCUCGAACGAAGCUUAUCACUUCCGAUCCAAUUCUACAUUUAGUUUGGAAAUGUGGAAUCGUAACUUCAGGAAGUGAGCAGCAGAGAUCCAACUCCUGACUCAGAUGUUUGACUGGCAGAAGGUAAAGUGGACUUCCUGAGUAUUUCCUCUUGUACUGGUGAAACUAAUAUGGUGAGGUAAUUCAUGACUUUCUUCAAACAUCAAGUCUUCACGCUUGACUUGAAGGCAAAGUCAUAGAAAGAAAGAUUUCAUGGUUGUCUGUCGCAAAGACCCACUGGACCUGGAUACUGAAUCGGGAACAACGGCUACUCAGAUAGGUGAAGUUAACCCCAAUGAAGCAGAAAAGACAGUGGGGACUUCCCUACCGAUGGUGUCUCGAGCCAUCCUGAUUAGUCGGCCAAAUUCUCACCCAUUUCAAGAAAGGCAUCUUAUUUUAGAUCAACCUGUGAAAGUGGGCCGAUCUGUUGCAAGAUGUCGACCUGCUCCAAAUAAUGCAAUAUUUGAUUGUAAAGUCUUAUCUAGAAACCAUGCUCUCUUGUGGUAUGAAAAUGGCAAGUUCUUUCUACAGGACACCAAGAGUAGCAAUGGAACAUUUGUCAACAACCAACGUCUCAGCAAGGGAUCUGAAGAGUCGCCAGCAAGAGAGGUCAGCUCAGGGGAUAUUGUCCAGUUUGGUGUCGAUGUUGUGGAAAACACUAGAAAAGUGACCCAUGGAUGUAUUGUAGCAACCCUAAAACUAUUCUUACCAGAUGGGAAGGAAGCAAAAGCAAGCCCAACCACUGCUGUGGUUUCAACCUCACCUGGUACUACCAUCUCCACACAGGACCUCUACCAGCUAUCCCAGUACCUUCAGGAAGCUCUUCAUCGAGAGCAAAUCCUAGAAACUAAGCUGGCCACACUACAGAGAGUAGUGUCUAACUCUCAAGAAGCAUCAGACAGUGGUUGGAAAGUUUUGAUUGAUGAAGAUCGACUACUAAGUCGAAUAGAAACACUAGAAAGUCAAUUACAGGAUGCUUCCAAAAAUACUUGUGAAGAUAAGCUAAGGGAAGAACUAACGAAACUUCAGGAAGAAAAAGAUAAAUACCAGAACACUGCCAAGGAAUCUCUAAGAAAAGUUCUUCAGGAAAAGCUAGAAGCAGUACGAAGGGCUCAAGAUCUUGAGAGUUCUUUGACUGCAGCAGAAGUAGAAUGUAACCAUCUUCAUGAUGUCUAUGAAAACACACAGAGAGAACUCCAGCUUUUGGCUUCAAAAAAUGAUGAACACUUGAAAGAAAUAAAGGAACUCACAAAGAAACUGAAGGAGGCAGAAGAUAAGGAAGAGGAAAUGUCAAAUAAAAUUAAGGAGGAAAAACAAGAACUGGAAAACCAGCUGGAGGAAAUGAAGAAACAAGAGACAGUAUUAGCAGCACAGAUAGAGAGCUUACAAGCAGAUAAUGAUUUUGCUAAGGAGCAGUUAAUGGCUAUGAAAGCUCGAUUCGAAAAACUUAAAACUGAACAAAACGAAGAUGGAAUAUUUGAUAUAGUUGAAACAAAUGGAGUUGUGAUGCAACCACAAGGAAUCCAAGUGGAUAUCAUCAGUGAGAAGUUUAUAACUACAGAUGCAUCUGUCAAUGGUUCUUUGAGUAUAUCUGAAGAAGUGGAAAAGUUAAAAUGCCAGCUAGAGAAUUCAGAAAAAGACUUGGUAGAGAGCAGGAACAGGAUCCAAGAACUGACAAUGAAAUUGGACAAAGUUGAACAUGAAAAACAAAAGAGCCAAUUGACAAUUGAGAAGUUGAAAGGGGAAAUUGAUGUAUUGAAGGGAAAGCUGGAAGAUUUAAGUGAUCAAGAGACAAACGAUGCAUCACUGACAAUCAUUUACCGUAAUGGAGAUGAAGAAAAGGAGAGUGACACCUCAUCAUCAUGGAUAACUUCACAAGAAAAAUGUAACAAACUAAGGCUGGAGAUAGAAGAACUACAAGCACAGCACUUACAGAAUAUUGUCACCCAGCAUCAGCUGACCUGCACUGUAACCUUGUUAAGAGAACUUCUAAAAGAAGCCAGAGAAGAAAAAACGAAAGCAGAAGGAGAGGCUACUCAGCUACAAGAAGAGCUUGGAUAUAAAUCAAACUCUUCAGACCAAACACAACCAGAAUUGUCUGACCUUCACAAACUGAUGGAAAAGGCUCAGCAAGAGGCUAAAGACAGAGGUAACGAGGUGUUACAUCUUCAGACGGAAUUGACAAAAACAGGAGAAUCUCUGCAAGAUGCAAAACAACAAGUCACUGCCAUCAGAGAAAAAGUUUCAGAGUUGGAACAAGUUUCAAGAAGAAAACAGGAGGAAGUCAGCAGCUUAAAGAUCCUCCUGGAAGAAGAGAAAAAAGUUCAACAGAAACUAACUGCUGCUAUAGAACAAACGAAAAAACAACUCCAGGAGGUACAACAGAAUGCCAAACAAAGUCAGAAUGAAGCAGAACAUCUGAAAAGUAAAAAAAGUCAAGAGUCUUUCAGAGGAACUGAGAAAUAAAGCAAAUGUAGAGAAGUCUACAGUGGAAGAUAACAAAAAUACUGCAGAGUACAGUGCUGUCAGAGAGGAGUGUGCCAGCUUAAGGGCUAGGCUUCAGUCCUUAGAAGCAGAAAUUAAGAAAUACAGAAACGAUAAGGUAAAGUUGUCAUCUGACUACAAGAAGCUUCAGGAUUCAUAUGAUGAGUUAGAAACUUU
rnacentral:misc_RNA from 1 species